rnacentral:tRNA from 1 species
GGUAAGAUGGCCGAGGGAUAAGGCGGCAGAUUGUAAAUUUGCUUUCGAGGGUUUGACUCCUUCUCUUUCCA